rnacentral:lncRNA from 1 species
CACAAGCUGAAGCCCAGCCUGGGCAACUUACUGAUUUAGUGAAAUUCUGUCUCAAAAUUAAAAAUUUUAGAAGGGUUGGGGAUGUUACUCAAUGUGAAGGCCCUAGGUUCAAUCCCCAGUAUUGCUAAAUAAGUAAAAGUUAGAAAUAAAAAGGGCUGGGGAUAUAGCUCAGUAGUAAAACUCCCCCGGGGUUUGAGCCCCAGUACUGAAAAUCAAAACAAGGGAACAAAAAAAACCCCAGAAUAACCAAGAUAACAAAUAGGGAAAGUUAUCAUAUUAACAGUUAAUGAAAAUAACAUUAUGCCAGCCUGAAACACAUGGCAAGACCCUGUCUCAAGAAAAAAACUUUCAGAACAGUUAUGUUUUCCAAAAUCAUACACCAGCUGGCUAAGGAUUUUUUUUUUUUUUUUUGAGACAGGGUCUCACUGUGUAGUUCAGGCUGACUUUAAACUCACUGUGUAGCCCAGGCUGGCCUCAAACUCUCCACAAUCCUGCCUCAAGCCUCCCAAGUGCUGGGAUUACAGGCAUGUGUCACCACGCCUGGCAGGAUUUAAUUUCUUUUUUGGUACCGGGGAUUGAACUUGGGUCCUUGUGCUUGUGCAGCAGGCGCGAAACCACUGAGCUAAAUCCCCGGCCCAAGGAUUUAAUUUCUAAACCCUGGUAUUUUCAUCACUGUCAGGGAGUUUGAAGGGUGUGUAGAUGGAUGGUGUCAGAAAGGCAUUCCCAGAAGGAGAGAUAUCUGUAAAAAUUGUGGGGACUUGGAGGCAUAAAUAGGGCACCUGCCUCAUGUGUGGGAAGCCCUGGGUUCAUCCCCAGAACUGAAAAAAUAAUGGAUGGACUUUAAGGAUAUUUAGUCAGUUUAACUGGAGAAAAACUCCCCAAAUUGUAAUCAAGUAUCAACCUCAUAAAAUUUGUCCUAAGCAAGGAAAGUUAUCCAAUCAUGGGUUUGCUGGGCAAGCUUUAUGUUUUAUACCAAUGGAAAUAAAUAUGUAACUGUUAACAACUUUGCUCAUACUCCAUUAAAACCAUCUCAGGCCCCAGUGGUAGUCAUGUGCCACUCUGGAGAACACUGCCCAAGGGAGUUCCCAGCACCACCUGGGAGGCAGGAUUGUCACUGAGCUGGGGCCCUGGAGGUCCCUAGGGUAAAAGAAAGAACCUGAUCCACCCUUUUGUAGAAUAAGUUUGCAGGCUCUCUGACUCCUGUCAUGGAGAAAGAAUUUUCAGGACGCAUCAGUAAGAGGCACAGGAAUAAUAGGGAGAGAUUUAGGGCACACUUGGGAAUGAAGUGCAGACAUUCAGAGAAAUGAGAUGAAUUAUUUCCUGUAUGCUUCUCUUAAGGGGUGGAAACCCUGGGAGAAGGUGGCCACCCCCAGAAGGUGCUAGGCCAUUCUACAGGCCUUGGCUCUGUUUUGUUUGUUUUUAAAAAUUUAAACCUUUGGGGC